UGUCUCCCUGCCUCUACCAGGGAACUCCAGGAGCAUGUGAGGAAUAACUCUGCCCAGAGAAACCUGUUCAAAUCCCAGGGUCUGAGGCUUUUAUGUGUAGAGGAACAGCUCUGUCAUGGCAACCUGGCAACACAGACCACACAGACAAAGACUUGACCUGCAGUUUAUCUGAAUCUUGGCAGAACUUGUGAUCUUCCCAGUAUACAAGAGGAUAAGCGGUCCCUUUUGUUUUGAUGUAGCCCUUUUUGGUGUGUGAAAUAAGGACCACAGGGAGCUGGCACCUUUGGCUACUCUUCUUUUCACUCUCCAUAUAAGUAGUAAACUGUUUGAAUCUUAAAA